rnacentral:rRNA from 1 species
UACGAGGGGGGCGAGCGUUGUUCGGAAUUAUUGGGCGUAAAGGGUGCGUAGGCGGUUUGAUAAGUCUUGUGUGAAAUCUCUGGGCUCAACCCAGAGUCUGCAUAGGAAACUGUCGGGCUUGAGUAUGGGAGAGGUGAGUGGAAUUUCCGGUGUAGCGGUGAAAUGCGUAGAUAUCGGGAAGAACACCAGUGGCGAAGGCGGCCGGCUGGGGGCGCCCUGACGCUGAGGCGCGAGAGCGUGGGGAGCAAACCGG